CAACCGCUGGCGGCAUGCCUAACACAUGCAAAUCGAACGGACAGAACCGGGAAGCUUUUCGGAGUGGAACUGGAAAGUUAGUGGCGGAUGGGUGAGUAACGCGUGGACAACCUACCUUGUAAAGGGGAAUAACCUCGAGAAAUCGAAGCUAAUACCCCAUAAUAACCUUGCUUCGCAUGAAGUAAGGAGGAAAGGCGGCCUUAGCGCUGUCGAUACAAGAUGGGUCCGCGUCUGAUUAGCUAGUUGGUGAGGUAAAGGCUCACCAAGGCGACGAUCAGUAGCCGGCCUGAGAGGGUGAACGGCCACAUUGGGACUGAGACACGGCCCAAACUCCUACGGGAGGCAGCAGUGGGGAAUCUUCCGCAAUGGGCGAAAGCCUGACGGAGCAAUGCCGCGUGAGUGAAGAAGGCCUUCGGGUUGUAAAACUCUGUCCUUAUCGAAGAGAGAGUGUUGUAGUAACUGACAAUACUAGGACGGUAGAUGAGGAGGAAGCCCCGGCUAACUAUGUG
rnacentral:rRNA from 1 species